GGAGUCUGGGCCGUGUCUCAGUCCCAAUGUGGCCGAUCACCCUCUCAGGUCGGCUACUGAUCGUCGCUUUGGUGAGCCGUUACCUCACCAACUGGCUAAUCAGACGCGGGUCCAUCUUACAGUGAUAAAUCUUUUCACCCUGUACCAUGCGGUACUGUGUGCUUAUGCGGUAUUAGCAGUCUUUUCAGACUGUUAUCCCCCUCUGUAAGGCAGGUUGCCCACGCGUUACUCACCCGUCCGCCACUCGCUCGGGAAUCACUAGGUUUCAUCCCUCGCUCGUUCGACUUGCAUGUGUUAGGCACGCCGCCAGCGUUCAUC
rnacentral:rRNA from 1 species